AACUAACUUGCAAAUAAAGAUGUCACUAGUGUUUAGUACUAUAAUUAAACAGAAGACGUAUAAAUAGAUCAAUGUUGAAUUUAAAUGAUAGUAGGAAAAAGGCAAUGGCUGCAUGCAGAACAUAAUUUAACUGGUGAAAGAAGAAGUUGUAUUUGAUAGCCUAUCCUACUUUAUUUUUCCUUUUAUUUAUGGGUCCCAUGUGUGACUAUUUGUUUUUUACCACUUCUGAUUCUUCAGUAACGAGGAAAUUACCAGAAUAGGCGCAACCAACCAUAUACUAUGAAACAAUUUAAUUUAAGCUUCCUAUAUGAUCAUUAUUUUGUUGAAGAAGUUGAAUGUCAUCAGGACAGUGGCAUAUAUAGUAAUAAAAGAGAAAAUACUCAGAUUGCACAAUUCAAUCUUCUCUCAAUAUGAUGAUUUUCUACUACAUUUUCUGAGAAAGAUUUACAUUAUAGCCAUAUAUGAAAUAAAUCAUAAAUGUUCAUUUAUCUUUAUACUAUUUUCCUUGGAAUCCGAUCACUUGUAAUUCUACACUAGAUGUGUUGUUGAACUGAUCAAGAUCAUACUUGAUUAAAUUAUUGUGUCUUCUUCUUUUUAGAUGCCUCUUUUCAGGUUUCGAGUCAAAUAGGCUCAUGAUAGAAACUACAAAGAUUUUUGAACCAGCUAUACUUAAUUAUAAGGUUAGAGCUAGCUAGCUAGGUCUGGUGUGUUAGAGAAUAGCAGAAGAAAGGUGUGGUUGAAGAGACCUUUCGCUAGCGCAAGAUCGUUAACUAAGAUUGGAAGAUUCAACUAAGAAAAGAAAGGUAUGAAAUGGAAGCUUUGUAAUUGGGGAAACCUUCUUGAAUUGAAUUGUUUGGGGGUGGUUAUAAAUGUACAAGACUCAUCCCUAUUUAUACUAGUUUGUAGAUGGUUUUAGAAAUUUUUCUAAAUACUUUUAAAGAAAAAUCUAGUGAUUUUUAUCUUCUACCACUACUUUAGAAUAUUUAGAUAAUUUUAUAACAACAAUCUUAACAACUUUUAUAUUCUAGCUAUGUAAGAAUAAUCUAGAUAUUUCUCUAAGAUAAUUAUCCUAAAUAUCAUGUUAGAGCAUUCUAGAAACUUUACUAGAAAAUCUAUAAUUCCAAAAAAUCAACUUUAGUGUUUUCACACUCCCUCUUAAAGUAAUUUUUUGAAAGCUACCCUAAACUCGUCACAGAAGAACUCAAACGAAGGUUUGAAUCAUGCCUUGGGAAAAUCCUUGAAAUUUUUUCUCGACUCAUCUAAUUUCUUCAAAUAAUGAAGUUUUUUUUUUGUCAUCAAAUGGUCUUGCAAAGAUAUGUGUCUAUGUACCAACAAAAGUUUUAUCACUGUAACUUACCGGCUUCAUCACAAUAUUUUCUUUUGGCCUUUGUGAAUCAAGUGAGUCAUCUCCUUGUCGAGUUUCAUGUUCUUGAGUUUUCGAUCUCCCCCUUUCUCUGAACUCAUCAAUAACUAUAUUUUUUUGGAGAAGCAUUUGUCAUGGGCAAGUUUGAAACUUUAGGGUCCAAUGUUUUAAAACCCUCUCCUUCAGAUACAACUCUGAAGUACAAGGAAAUUAAAUUUCAUAAGUAUCAACCUUUUCAUCAUCCAUUUUUGUAUUUGAAAUUGAGUCUACAUAAACAACUUCUUCAUUUAUUUGAUCUUUUGCUUCUUCAUCUACUUUUGAUUUUUUCUGCACUAGUGAUUGACCUUGAUAUAGUAGAUGCUUGAUCAGAGACUUCAAUUUUCAUUAUAUCUUUCUCAACGUUUUCUUCAAAAAGGUCACCACUGGCAUGUAUAGUUUCAGACACUCUCUGCUCAGAUUCUAUUCCAACAUCUUUCACAUUCAGACUUUUAUUAUUAAUUUCAGGAUUUGCUUCUUUGAAUUCCUCGAUAGCAGCUACCACAUCUCCAGUCUGAAUAUCUUCAGUAUUAUCUUGCUUCUUAUUAGUGUCCUUCUUCUUCACAUGAUGGAUUGUGUUAUAUCCGAUCUAAUCUCUUUACAAAUUUAUGGAAGCCAAGGCAUUUAUUGCUCGACUCUCAACUUCUAAGCAUUUUUCCCAACAUUCUUCUUCUUCAACAACUUUUUCUAUAUAGCCACGUUGCUCUUCGUGGCUUGUCAAUAUCUUUUUAUAUGUCCUGCUUUGCCACACCGAUAGCAUCUGAGAGGCUUCUUAGUAUAAUUGUUAAAAGUCUCUUCCUUCUUUCCGGGCGAACUUAAAUCACUUGAGAAUCGAGUAUGAGGCAUAUCUCUUGCUUUUCCUUUAACAUUCCUCUUAUCAGCUAUAAGAGCAUUUCCUUCCAUUUCUUAGACAAAUUCACUAGCCAAUUGUUUGGCUGGUAACUCCUGUGACGAUAAUAAAUUCUCAAAUUCCUCCAGGGAUGGUUGAUUAGUCCAUCUCUGAAUUGAUGCCACAAAGAAAAUAUAUUUUGGUUUCAAACCACGAAUGAUAAUUCUUCUCAUUCAUGCUUCAGAGAUAGCCUCAUCCGUAUUCAAUAAAGAAAUCUCAGAACAUAAGUUCUUAAUCUUUAAAAAGUACUAAGCAAUAGAAAGGUUACCUUGAGUAGUGUUCGCCAAUUUAUUCUCCAAUAUUUAUAGUCGAGCUUCAUUUUUCUUGUUGAACAACUGAUCAAGCAUCCUUUGUAUUUCAUGAGGUGAUAUACACCUUAUGAAGUGGUCAAAUAAACUAGAAGAGAUAGACCUCUUCAGAAUGAACUCCGCCUUUGUAUUAAUCUGCUUCCACUUCUUGUAUGCACUACUAUUCUCAGGUUCAUCGUUCGGAGGACUUGUGUUACUCCACGUUAACAACAUCCCACAAAUCCUCGUCCACAAGAUAUGAUUCCAUAUAAGUCUUCCAUAUAUACCUUGUAAUUGGACUGAUUCAACAACUCCAUUUCCAGUACAUUACGUGAUCGCUUAAAUCCAUUAGGACUAAUCAAUUGAAUCGACCACAAACCCAAUCUUGAAAUAAACACAAGUCAAUCUACAACUUUGGCUCUGAUACGAUGUAGAGAAUAAUAGAAGAAAGGUGUAGUUGGAGAGACCUUCUCUAGCCCAAGAUCGUUAACUAAUAUCGGAAGAUUCAACUAAGAAAAGAAAGGUAUGAAAUGGAAGCUUUGUAGUUG
rnacentral:lncRNA from 1 species